GACGAACGCUGGCGGCGUGGAUUAGGCAUGCAAGUCGAACGGUAUCAUCCUUUCGGGGGUGAGAGAGUGGCGAACUGGUGAGUAACACGUAGGUUAUCUACCCUCAAGACGGGGACAACCCAGGGAAACUUGGGCUAAUACCGGAUGUGAGCAACUUUUAGUUGUUUGAAAGGUGGCGUAAGCUGUCGCUUGGGGAUGAGCCUGCGUCCUAUUAGUUAGUUGGUGAGGUAACGGCUCACCUAGGCAAUGAUAGGUAGGCGGCCUUAACGGGUGGUCGCCCACACUGGGAUUGAGAUACGGCCCAGACUCCUACGGGAGGCAGCAGUCGAGAAUAGUCUACAAUGGUCGGAAGACUGAUAGUGCGACGCCGCGUGAACGAUGAAUCCCUUCGGGGUGUAAAGUUCUUUUAUAUGUGAGCAGUGCUUCUUAUAUUAACAGUAUGGGGAGAGAGAUAUUAGCAUAUGAAAUAAGCAACGGCUAACUCCGUGCCAGCAGCCGCGGUAAUAC
rnacentral:rRNA from 1 species